UCGAGGCGGACCCAGUUGAGAAUGGGUGUCAACAGGUAGCUAACGGUACUCACUGAACCAACCACUCGUUCAUAGUACAUCAGCUUGCGAAGCACUAUUUAUUUUUGUGUCGACAACAACUGUCAAGUUUAGUCAUGAAUUGGUGCUCAGUACCUUGGAUAUGCAAACUACAAGCAUGCACAGACUGCUGGGGUAAAGUUGAAUUGAUUACCUCACUAAAGGUGUCGAGCAGAGUCCGAUCCAAUCAAGAUCUGCAGCAGCAACCUUAGCACCAGGAACUCGUGUUACGGCCCAACUACACUCCAGCCACCAGACGUUCGGCAUUGCCAUCAGCCAUUGAGGGAACGCUUCCUUUGAAAUGAAUGAAAGCUGCUAUACUGCCCACGUUGCGUCACAUCCAAUUGAUAGGUUAGCUGUCAACAUCACACAAAUGAUGCGCUCGCUUAAAUGUUGUGAUUCUGGAUGGCCAGAUAGCUAGCAACAAAGACAAUAAUCUACCAUGUGGGGAAUCCGUAGGUGGCUCGUUUCAGCUAGUUUUAUCUUGUUCUCGAUACCAUGUCUUGUUUUCAGGUGUUUUGACUGAUGUCACGUCUAUGCUAAAAUGGCAAAAAUUUGCUGGCCAGCUAACCAACAAUUGUAACAAUGUAUUUGAGAGACAAUAAGUGCUCAUUGCGCAAAUGUAUUUUUUUUUUCAAUAAACAUUGGAGACGAAAGAUUGUUGACAACAUGUAAACAAUAUAAGACAACCCUGUCUGUUUUGCCCCAUAGCACACGCAUUGGAUUUGUUGCUAAAAAAAACAACCUGUCUACAGCAGCGUCCAAGCUCAAAAAUCGAGGUUCAGUUCUCGAUGGCUGACGCGUGCGUUCAUUCUAUCUUGUGAAUGGAAAAAAAUAGAUUUUGGUUGGUUUCUGGUGUAGCAGGUAGAACGUCACAUUGACACAAUGCUGAUUAUUAUGCGUGUAGUGUAGCUGACUUGUAAGUCACCUUUGCUAAGUCUUUCCAUGAUGAGCAAAUAAAUAUACUGGAGCUUGGCAUCAA